ensembl:lncRNA
AUGAAGAAGAGGUGGAAGGAAAGAGAAGAGAUGGAAGGAGAGAGAGAAGAGAUAGAAGAGAUGGAAGGAGAGAGAGAAGAGGUGGAAGAAGAGAGAGAAGAGAUGGAAGGAGAGAGAAGAGGUGGAAGGAGAAAGAAGAGAUGGAAGGAGAGAGAAAAGAGGUGGAAGGAGAGAGAGAAGAGGUGGAAGGAGAGAGAGAAGAGGUGGAAGGAGAGAGAGAAGAGGUGGAAGGAGAGAGAGAAGACGAAGAUGAGGUGGAAGGAGAGAGAGAAGGGCAACAGAAACGUGAUAGAGAGAAUACAAGGCGACCAGGGACAGGAGGAGGAGGGAGAACACCACAGCGGUGAAGAUAGGGAGGAGGGAGAGCAUCACCAAGAUGAGGAGGGAGAAAGCUCCACAGGGACGUUGUUGCUCCACAGGGACGUUGUUGCUCCACAGGGACGUUGUCGCUGCUCCACAUGGACGUUGUUGCUCCACAGGGACGUUGUUGCUCCACAGGGACGUUGUCGCUGCUACACAGGGGACGUUGUUGCUCCACAGGGACGUUGUCGCUGCUCCACAGGGACGUUGUUGCUCCACAGGGACGUUGUCGCUGCUCCACAGGGGACGUUGUUGCUCCACAGGGACGUUGUUGCUCCACAGGGACGUUGUCGCUGCUACACAGGGGCGUUGUUGCUCCACAGGGACGUUGUCGCUGCUCCACAGGGGACGUUGUCGCUGCUCCACAGGGACGUUGUCGCUGCUCCACAGGGACGUUGUUGCUCCACAUGGACGUUGUUGCUCCACAUGGACGUUGUUGCUCCACAGGGGCGUUGUUGCUCCACAGGGGCGUUGUUGCUCCACAUGGACGUUGUUGCUCCACAUGGACGUUGUUGCUCCACAGGGGCGUUGUUGCUCCACAUGGGCGUUGUUGCUCCACAGGGACGUUGUUGCUCCACAGGUACGUUGUUGCUCCACAUGGACGUUGUUGCUCCACAGGGACGUUGUUGCUCCACAGGGGCGUUGUUGCUCCACAGGUACGUUGUUGCUCCACAUGGACGUUGUUGCUCCACAGGGAUGUUGUCGCUGCUCCACAUGGACGUUGUUGCUCCACAGGGACGUUGUUGCUCCACAGGGACGUUGUUGCUCCACAUGGACGUUGUUGCUCCACAGGGACGUUGUCGCUGCUCCACAUGGACGUUGUUGCUCCACAGGGACGUUGUUGCUCCACAGGGACGUUGUCGCUGCUACACAGGGACGUUGUUGCUCCACAGGGGACGUUGUCGCUGCUCCACAGGGACGUUGUUGCUCCACAUGGACGUUGUUGCUCCACAGGGGCGUUGUUGCUCCACAGGGGCGUUGUUGCUCCACAGGGACGUUGUUGCUCCACAUGGACGUUGUUGCUCCACAGGGACGUUGUUGCUCCACAGGGGCGUUGUUGCUCCACAGGUACGUUGUUGCUCCACAGGGACGUUGUUGCUCCACAUGGACGUUGUCACUGCUCCACAGGGACGUUGUUGCUCCACAGGGACGUUGUCGCUGCUACACAGGGGCGUUGUUGCUCCACAGGGGCGUUGUCACUGCUCCACAGGGGACGUUGUUGCUCCACAGGGACGUUGUUGCUGCUCCACAUGGACGUUGUUGCUCCACAGGGACGUUGUCGCUGCUCCACAGGGACGUUGUUGCUCCAUAUGGACGUUGUUGCUCCACAUGGACGUUGUUGCUCCACAGGGACGUUGUCGCUGCUCCACAUGGGCGUUGUUGCUCCACAGGGACGUUGUUGCUCCACAGGGACGUUGUCGCUGCUCCACAGGGACGUUGUUGCUCCACAGGGGCGUUGUCGCUGCUCCACAGGGACGUUGUUGCUCCACAGGGACGUUGUCGCUGCUCCACAGGGACGUUGUUGCUCCACAUGGACGUUGUCGCUGCUCCACAUGGACGUUGUUGCUCCACAGGGACGUUGUCGCUGCUCCACAUGGACGUUGUCGCUGCUCCACAUGGACGUUGUUGCUCCACAGGGACGUUGUUGCUCCACAUGGACGUUGUUGCUCCACAGGGGCGUUGUCGCUGCUCCACAUGGACGUUAUUGCUCCACAGGGACGUUGUUGCUCCACAGGGACGUUGUCGCUGCUCCACAGGGACGUUGUCGCUGCUCCACAGGGACGUUGUUGCUCCACAGGGACGUUGUUGCUGCUCCACAGGGACGUUGUUGCUGCUCCACAGGGACGUUGUUGCUCCACAGGGACGUUGUCGCUGCUCCACAGGGACGUUGUUGCUGCAUAGGAAACUAAGUUCCAUAGGAAUAAGAACAACAAAGGACAGAGACGAACAUUUUGCUAUAAGGUGUAUUUAAGAGACAUUCUUCAAAUAAAUAUAAAUAUUCAUGUUUGUUAAAUAUGAAUAAUUGGGGAAACUCAGUGUGAAAGUGUGAUGAGAUGAGGACAGAGUUUUAAUAUUUUGUGUACAAUGUAUUUUAGAUCUAUUGAUCAGAUUAAAUUCCAAAAUCAAACAAAUGAACCUA